CCCCCUCCAUAAGGCCCUGCAUGGUAUUCACAUCCUCCUCAUCCCAACCCCCUCCAUUAGGCCCUGCAUGGUAUUCAGAUCCUCCUCAUCCCAACCCCCUCCAUUAGGCCCUGCAUGGUAUUCAGAUCCUCCUCAUCCCAACCCCCUCCAUAAGGCCCUGCAUGGUAUUCAGAUCCUCCUCAUCCCAACCCCCUCCAUAAUAAGGCCCUGCAUGGUAUUCAGAUCCUCCUCACCCCAACAACCCUCUAUAAGGCCCUGCAUGAUAUUCAGAUCCUCCUCAUCCCAACCCCCUCCAUAAGGCCAUGCAUGGUAUUCAGAUCCUCCUCAUCCCAACCCCUCCAUAAGUCCCUGCAUGGUAUUCACAUCCUCCUCAUCCCAACCCCCUCCAUAAGUCCCUGCAUGGUAUUCAGAUCCUCCUCAUCCCAACCCCCUCCAUAAGGCCCUGCAUGGUAUUCAGAUCCUCCUCAUCCCAACCCCCUCCAUAAGGCCCUGCA
ensembl:lncRNA